CGCAAAUGAAUCUGCGGCCUCUGUUCUAUUCUUUCUCUAUUUCUCUCAGUUUCUUCAUCGCUUAAUCCCGAUUCCCUUCAGACUUUUAGACUUUUUCAAUCAAAUCACUAGAUUCACCAACAAGUAACAACAAAUAGUUGGAGUUGAAAAAAACAAAGGUUCGUUGAUUCGGUUAUACUGAAACAGGGAUCCUCUUUUUUAAUCAACUUUAGAAUCUCAGUUCUACUUUGAAGCUCGAGGAUCAAAACUUGAUCAGAGCUAUUUGGUGACCUUGCUGCUUCUUCCAUCAUCUUAGAUGAUUGAUUCCUAUUGGGUUAGACAAGGCUUUCAGCGCAUUCUUCGAUGGAGGAAGCUGGUCGCUUGAUAUGAAUCAUAUGAUCUUUCUUUUCUUCAAUAGGAUUUAGUGCAGUAGGCUAGUAAUGCAUCUUUUGAGCUUUGAAAAGUUGAACUCAUUUCUUGUUGUUAUCGGCCUUUAUCACUUUGCAUGCAGUUUGAACUUUGCACAAUUACACCAAUUUCUCAGGAUUUUCAUUUUGUAAACACUUUUAAUUUUAAGUAACUUAUGAUGGUAA